UGCAUUCGGUAAAAAUGGACUAUCACAAUUUGUCCAUUUUUUUCUCAUGUGUCAAGGAGCCGUAUAAUAAGUGAGAUAAUGUACAAGCAGCCAACUGGAAAUUCGAUAAUUCCCACUUCAACCUGGAAAUAAUUUAUGGAACGGUGCUCUUUUAAUGUUAGCAGAUACUUUUAAUGUUUUAAUGUUACUCAAUACUUUAAAAGGUUACUUCAAGUUGAAGUGGGUGUUGUCGAAUUUCCGAGAGCAUGUGAAGGCAGCAGAAGACCCACUUUUUAAGAUUGGCUGCGCUGCGUCAAGAUCGGCUGCACUGUGGGUCUGCAGCUGCAGCUUGUUACUCUUAGGAUAGUGAAAUUUAGGUGUGUUUGUUUGUUUACGGCAUUUCAGAUGUGGGUGUUAUAUAAACGGUGGAUAAAAUGCUGGAUUUGGAGAUGGUUUGAAACAGAUAGAUGGAGUGGUCCCAGUGCUUAAAGAUGCCGGACAUGAACUGCACGCACUGUGCCUGACACGGCCCCCUACAAGUAGCCAGAACGAUGACAUAAGCCACCUUCGCAUGACCAGGACAGGUUGGUAGAUCUUUUCUUCUCAUCACAGGAGGUCUGAAGUCCUGAGGUCUUAGUGGCUCUGUUGAAUGACCUGAGUAAGAUUCUGUAUAUUUUACAUGGGUGAGGAUAUGUUGGUGUUCUUGCUCAUGUCUGCCAACUGUAUAGCUACUUGAGGCUCUGUUGAUUUUGGACAGACAAGAAAUGCCCCAUCAGCACAUUACACAUCACUAGUUUUAAAGAAUCUGUUUUUGAACCAACGACACAAUGUUGCCAAGACCUACAGUACUGCUGAUUGACCUGGAAACCAUCGUGUUUUAACACUAGAUCGUUCUGAGCACUCUUUUCUUCACUUAAGGAUUAUAAGCAAGGCAUCCAAAAACACAUUUUAACUCAUUUUGAAUUUAUCUUGAUGUUUGGGAAUUGGAGGAAAUCAGUAGAGCUUCUCCUAGCACGGGAGUGUUUACAGUUAUUGGCCCUGUCUAUCCUUAGACAACUUCCAACAGACUUGUAAUUCUUCCUCUUACACUGAAGAAAUGACAAGCUUGUUUCCUCUUCUUUAUUCCUUUGUGAUUAUGUAAUCAUAUGGUUCGGUUUGCCUAAACUAAACUUUAAAAAAAGACAUCCGUUUUGCUUUACUGGAUGUUUUUUAUUGUUUCUGAAGAUAUGCGACCAAAUACACAUGAAAUAAUUGUUCAUGUUAAAAUCACUAACAGUACUGUAUGUCGUUUCAUUUCACAUUAUCCUACAGUAUGUUCAUUUGCUCUUGCUAGCUGUGUGUUAUUAGACAUGUGAGCUGAUGUGACUUAGAAAAGGCUUAAUGAAUGAGUCCGGCUAUAUGUACCUUGGCAUGUUUUUUGCAGUGUGUAAGACAGGGGUCUUCAACUGCUUUUCUUUGAGGGCCAGAUUCCAAAAAGUUUAAAAAGGAUGUUGGCCAGGUUUUUUUACCACAUCCUCAUUUCUUCUGCCAUUAUUUAUUUCUGUUAUUUAUUGCAUUUUGUUACUUUUAUACUGUUUUUUAUACUCCUGUUACCUAUAGGACAUAGAAUAAAACAUGCACACAAAUAUUGCAUCCAGUAUUUUUGCCUUUUCAUGAUAUUUUAUUAAUAUUCCUUGAUGCGUUAGUUUACCCAAAAAUGAAACCGCUGUACCCAGGUACAUCCAAGAUGUGGGUGGCAUUAUUUUUUCAAGAAGAUAUUUACGAAGAUAUUUGGUUGAAUUAAUGAAAGUCAUAUCAAUAAAAGUCAAAAACGCCAACAUAUUACACACAAAAGUAAUCCCUGCCCCUUGUGGCGUAAAACUGGCAUCUUAUAAAGCGGAUCAAUUGGUCUUUUCAAGAUACUGCACACAAGUUUCUCAC